CAAUUUCAACUGCAAAGCAUCGAUAUUCUUGGAGCUCUCGUUUAGCUGGGUGAUCUUCUUCACCAAGUGAUUGGCCAUGAAAGGGAUUAGCCAGGUGCUACCAGAGCCGCUGUAGAGGCGAAGAACAAGGUGGAGCUUGGAUUCAAUUUCGAUGCAGCUGGGUUUGGUUUGAGAAGAUGGUUGAAAGAUUUGGGUGCAUAUCUCGACGCCCCCUGCCUUCGCCGAAGUCGUCGUCCCCGCCCGCGCCCUCGGCGACCUCGCCGCCUCGCCAUGGACGCCCCUGCACUCGCCCUCACUUUCUCCCCAAAUUUCACCAAAUCUCUCGGUAGGUUUGUGAGUUUGGGAUCAGCAAUUGGAGCCAUGGUGGUGGUUUUCUUGUGAAGAAAAAAAGGAGUUUUCAUUCCAAAAAGCAAGUCUUUACAACAGUUGAGUUUUCUGUAAAACUAUUUCAAAUUUACAAACCUACAGAGAGAGGAGGUGGCAGACUGCGAGGCUCUGCCGUCCAUGGAAACGGAGGCUCCGGGAGAGGUGGCUGCCGAAGUUCUUGCUGCCAACAGCAGGACCCGACGGCGGCGCUCCUCCAGCGAGCCGCUGACCGUCGAUCUCAGGCAGCAGCAGUGGCCGUCA
rnacentral:lncRNA from 1 species